rnacentral:tRNA from 1 species
AAUAAGGUGGCUGAGAAAUAAGCGAUAGAUUGUAAAUUUAUAAACAAGGAAGUCCCUUCCUUAUU